rnacentral:misc_RNA from 1 species
AAGUCGUAACAAGGUUUCCGUAGGUGAACCUGCGGAAGGAUCAUUACCAAGUAUCCAAUUUUCUAUUGGUUUAACCACCAAUAUACACAUGUGCACUGUAACUGUCUCUGACGGUGGCUGCGUGGGCUUGUAUACGAGCUAUUAAUCAAAGAGGUUACACUUUGGUUGAUCGCUGGGUGCAGGUUGCUAUGUAAAUACCGUCAGAUUUUUUAUACUUUAAUUUGAUUUGAUAAAGUCGUAUAUCUAUUCAUAAAAUUGAAUUAAAUAUCUAUGACAACUUUUGACAACGGAUCUCUUGGUUCUC